GGGGAUUUAGCUUAGUGGCAUAAGCGCCUGCCUUGCGAGCAGGCAGUUGUGAGUUCGAUCCCUG
rnacentral:tRNA from 1 species